CGAGCCUCUGGUGGGCUGGGCAGAGGGGGCGGGACAGCACGACAGGUGCUGACUCCAGGGCCAGAGGGAGGCAGACCUGAGCUCAGAGAGACCCUCCUUUGAGAAAGAGCUGCACUUUGGCGACUUGGGAGACCCUGGCCCGGGCUGACCGCUCGCACUGAUGCUCUGCAUCCUGCCGAGCCCUUUGGAGCAAGCUGGACCCCGGGGUUGGUCACCCCUGGGCUGGCCUGUGUGCCAAGUCGGGCUCUGUACCCUGCGUGCCAGUGAUGUGAUAUGAAGAGCUAGGUUGGGCCCCUGUUCCUGGAAUCGCUCCAUUUGGGGGUGCCAGUGUUGCCAACAGUUGUUUCUAGGGGAGCCACCCCACUGGGGUACCCUGGGCUCCUGGGAUGAUGGUGAGUCAGAGGGCAGUUUAAGCCAGGGCUGCUGGGGGUGGCUUGGGGUCUUGGACAAGCCCCCUUGGGAAAAGGAACAUGAGGGCAGAGGGGUCUGGAGGAGGGUGGCCCGUGCCAGGGUAGGGGUGGGGUGUGGUGACUCCGGAGUGGCCCCUGUGGCAGCUCCCCCCUCUCCCCUCCCCUCCCCUCCCCGCGUGGCUCCAGCACACAGCUGUCACCAGAAUCCAUCUCUGUCACCACCCCACUGUGGGGCUAAUGAGUUCUCCUGAGAAGCCCCUCAAGCACAGCGCGCGGGCCAGCCCCACCCCCAGCCCGGAGGCCCAGGGCCUGCCUCGGAGGGUCCCUCGCCUGCCUUUCAAUCUGUACAAGGUGUCAGGGAGGCCGCCCAGAGGUGCUCGGUCCACAGUGUCUGUCAUAGCCCAGGGCUGCUGAGAAAGCCCACAGGCCUGGCCUGGAAGAGCCAGUGGGCAGUUUGGUUCCAGUCUGGCCGGAGCCCAGCCUGGCCCUUCUGGGGCUCCCUGGCCCUGAUUCCUCUGGGACACUGCUGGUUAGACCUUCCAUCCUGGUGUCCCUUAGCACAAGGGUGGGAGCUGGUGCCGGGAUACCAGUAGGUUGGACGAGGGGCCACAGCCAGGGCGCCUUGGGUAUUCAGUAGCGGCUCCUGGGUGCCUCCUGCUCGCACUGGUCCUGCUGCUGAGUCCGUGAGAGGCGAGAGGCAGCGCAGCUUCCAGGAAGAGCACUGGCCCCGAGGCACGAGGCUCUCAGGAAGUAAGGAGCGCCCUCCAGUGCAGAGCCUCCGCACCACAGAGAGUACUUCCCAGCAGAGAGGCUCUGCAGCUGAGAGCCCGCUGGCGCCUCCCUGCCCCCAGCGCCCACAGCCCAGGCAGGACGCCAGUGUCACUGCUCAGGCAACUGCCGGCCUGGCGAGCUGGGGACUGGCCUGUCUGGGGCCUCUGUUUCCCCACCCGCUUGCCGGUGGCCUCAGCCCUCCUUCUCUGCUGCAUCUUUACCUGCUCCUCCUGCUUUGCGCUGCCCUGGCUGGGUACCAUGCUCUGUGCUGCCCGCUGGCCCCAUGCCCCAGAGAGAGGAGGAGAGUGGUGUAGUAGCAGGGUCUUGGGACAGGGAGGAGAGUGCCGGGUGUGGUGCUUGGCUUUGGUUUAGGAAGGGAAGGUCAAGGCCUGUGGGGAUGCUGUUGCUACACACAACUUAAACUGGAGAGCAGAGGCUCAGUGGGGUUUGUCAGAUCACCAGUCACCCAGCCAAUGGCUGAGGUGAAAUUUGGCCCCGUGACAUUGACUCUAAGCAUGACCUGGGUUUUUCUGCAUGUGCCGAGAACACCUCCCUCCGGGGCUGGCUGAGAAAGUCGCUGGAGAGUUAGCAUCAGGUGGGAGGGAGCAUGCUUGGCCCUGCUGGGUGGCUGAGCUCCCCUCAUCCCUUCCCCCAUCGCCCUUGUGAACUGUGUGUGGCUUAAGUGCGUCCAGGGCCUAGGACAGGAUCUGGGCGGCAGGGGCUUCCAGGCCUGUCCUUGCUUUCUUGCAAGGUAAGUCUAGGAGGCCAGUGGCUCUGCCAGCCCCUGCCAGGCCCCUCUUGCUCUCCCGGCCACAGGACGUGGUGAGGAGGUGGAGUGAACGGCUCCUGUAAGAGUGUGGCUGCCCCGUCUAGAGGCCCCUCAUCGGCCGUCCUCCAGCUCCGGAGUCCUUCCCCGACUCCCCCCACGCUGGGUGGCCAGGUGCCAGGAGCACAUGCAGAUGGCAGCCUGCCUCCUGCCCUGUAGACGCUUCUCUGCUUGUUUAGGAGACAUGAAUCGGAUUGGAAACUGGCUGCAAGGAAGGACGGCUCUGGCCUGAGACCUGAGGGCAGCGGUGCUGGUGACUCACUGGCUGAUGGAGCCUGGUCGGGCUGGCGGGACUGGACGGGCGUGCAGAGGAAGGGCUGGCGGGCAGGUCUCAAGCCUCACACCCAAUCCUUGCCUGGCCCGAGAGAGCCCGCCACAGCCUCCCCCAUUUUGCAGCCAGCGGAGCCAUUCACACAAUCACCUUCUGUUAAUUCUAUCUGCAACAUCAAUUAAAUUGUUUGUAGAAACUAA